UUUUUUUUGUGAUCAUAAAAAUUUAUUCCAUGAAAUUUGCCUUGACUUACUUUGUGAACUUUUAAAAAUUAAAUUUACAAAAACAAAUCAGUUAGUAACAUUAAAAAAACGACCAUAUCAACAUUUAAUUGGUAUCUUUUUUUUAAAUUCCUUGGACAAUAUCCAUUGGUUGAACUUUAAAUUUGAUAUUCAUAUUGUUUAAUUAACCAAGUAAGAAUCAAGAAAAGGUGUAUUUAUAGAAAAGAACCAAAUGCCUAAGAUGACAUAUAUCCAAGAUACUUUUAAAAAAUAAAAAUAAAUUCUUUUAUUUAUACAUGCUAUUAUUAUAAGAUAAAUAAAACAAAUCUAUGUAACCUGGUAAUAAUAAAUCCUGCUUAAAAUUAAUUUAGUAAAAUGUAUUGUGGAUUAAAAUCUACCUCAAGCAUGGUACUUAAUAACAUUGAAAAAAUUCAAAAAAAAUUGUUGUUAACUUCAUAAAUGUACUGGAAUAAAAUAAUAAUAAUAAUAAUAAUAACAAUAGUGUUGAUUUUUUUAACAAAUAAAAAUUAAACCUUACAUCAUAAGAAAAUUUACUUAGUACAAAUGCCUUUAUUGAAACAAUAACAAAAUUAUUCAAUUGAACAAUCACAUGUUACAGCAAGAAAUUAAUUAAUACAUGUACGUCAAUAGUUGAUUCAAUGACAUUGCAUAUUACAUCGGGAAAGUACCAAUGAGCGUCACAAUAACCUCAACACCAAUCGUUUUACGAUUUGGUUUUUUAACAUAAAAAAAAGUGUCAUACAAAUUGACAUAACUAUGUCAAUUUGCAUAAUUGGCAUUUGAAAAAAUAAGUCAUUGUUCUAUGGUGGUGAAGUUUUUGUUGAUCUAAUAGAAGACCAAAACAGCCCUACUUCACUAACGUCCCCGCACUUAAUAACUAGAGAAUUUGAACAGUGUAAGAAACACAUCUAUUGGCAUUUGAACACUGUUAGCAACAAUUUAAUUGAAACACAUAGAGAUUCAAUCUGUGGAAACCAAUGCAGAUUAAAGGAGCAAGAGUUCACCCACAAUAAAAUUCAUAAAUGAGGGCUUUUCCUUUACAUUACACAAUGCACAUCCAGGUUAUUUACACUUGCAAUAUAGGGGGAUGGAUACUGCAGAAUGUAAAAACAAAGCCUGCCUACAGGACCUACGUUUCCAGCCAAGUUUUGCACUUCAGUGUUGUUCGGCUGUCUUCAUCUCUCAAUAUUCUAUCUAAAUCUGGCUGGAGAUGAUAAAAGCCAGAAGACACAUACGGGCAUCUCAUUGUUUCCUACUCGAGAUAUUAACUCCACAAAAUCAACGACUCCAAGUCACACAUGAUGCUUGUGCACUUCAAGUUUGUGAGCUGUGUAGAGUCCGCGUACGUAAGUAAUUAGGAACCUGUAGCUAUACAAAGGUGCACUCUCCUGCAACAGUAGAUACUGGCCUCCUCUCCUCGUCGGCAUGAAGGGGACUCAAAUGCUUCUUAUCAAAUAGGGAAGAUUUGACUUCAAACAUCCGUGAGAACAGUUGUCCAAAGUCAGUUUUGACAAAUUGUUGGGCCUGUUGAUAAUCAACAGAUCUCUGGAAUGUGACUUUCUCGGCUUCCAAGAAGGGAAUUGGCUCUGGCAAAUCAUAACUGUCGUCAUUAGUUACAACUGUGGUACCUGGUGGUCCGGAAGGUGCCUCUGCUUCCACGGGUGAUCCGCAUUGCGCUAAAUGAAGGGCAAACUCCAUAUCUUCGUACACCUGCACGAAUGGUUGGACAUAUAUCAUUAACUGUUACUUGAUAACCACGUGAUUUCCACGGUGUACACUUCCACAGAUGCUGUGAAUCUGUCAUUGAUGUUUUCAGCAAA
rnacentral:lncRNA from 1 species